UUGCUGUGAUGACCAUCUUGGGACACCUUUGGAACACCUGUGAAAAAAAAAUUGCGUUACUUCUGAGCAAC
rnacentral:snoRNA from 1 species